GCGGCGUACGGCUCAGUAACAUGUGGUCAAUCUACCCUCAGGACGGAGAUAACCUCGGGAAACUGAGGCUAAUAUCCGAUAGAUAAUGGAUCCUGGAAUGGUUCAUUAUUCAAACGGCACAUUGCUCAUGCGCAGUGUGUCGCCUGAGGAUGAGACUGCACCCUAUCAGGUAGUUGGUGGGGUAAUGGCCCACCAAGCCUAUAACGGGUACGGGCCCUGAGAGGGGGAGCCCGGAGAUGGGCACUGAGACAAGGGCCCAGGCCCUACGGGGCGCAGCAGGCGCGAAACCUCUGCAAUGCGCGAAAGCGCGACAGGGCCACCCCGAGUGCUAGCCGCUGAGGUUAGCUUUUCCUUAGUGUAGUAAGCUAAGGGAAUAAGCGGGGGGCAAGCCUGGUGUCAGCCGCCGCGGUAAUACCAGCUCCGCGAGUGGUCGGGACGAUUAUUGGGCCUAAAGCGUCCGUAGCCGGCCUAUCAAGUCUCUGGUUAAACCUCAAGGCUCAACCUUGAGAUCGCUGGAGAUACUGUUAGGCUAGGGGGCGGGAGAGGUUGAGGGUACUUCGCGGGUAGGGGCGAAAUCCUAUAAUCCGCGAAGGACCACCA
rnacentral:rRNA from 1 species